UGCAACACAGUCUGGGAGCAAGAUAGAGUGUGAGAAACGGAGAGACAGGGUGCGGCCAACCACCACCUCCGGUGGCGGAGCCAUGACGGAUCUGUCGGCGUCUUCUCAGCAUCGGGGAGUGUUGUACCCCUACCUACAGAGCAGAAGACAAGGAAUCCGGUGAGGCGGUGCGAGCUAGGGUUCUGACGAGACUCCGGUUAACUCCUGCAUGAAUUCCGGCCUCCGGUUAAGCUCCGACGACUUCUCCGAUUACCGAUCUGGGUCUGCAUGUUGUUAAAUCUUAAUUCUUAAAGAUCAGUGGAUGACCCGUAUCCGGAAGUCAGCGUGGGUACAAAGGACGGAUGGCAACAGUGGUUGCUGGAACUUAUCUUGAUUCAAGAACUGAUAUGGGUGUUUGUUUGAUAGAUCUUAGUCAGUUAAUCAAUUGGCUGAAAGCUUAAGUUUUUUCAAGAAAAUUGAUCAAGAUGGUGAGAGGGAAGACUCAAAUGAGGAGAAUGCUAAAGUUGCUUUGAUCAUCUUCUCUCCAAGAGGGCUUUAGCCUCGUCUCUUUAGAUCAAGUGCAAGAGAGCUUCUUUAGAUUCAUGUGCAAGAGUGACAAAAAUAAAAUAAACUAGCAAAAACGCAGGAGUUUUAAGGGUCGUACUGCUCAUCAUUUUACUUGCAGCACUUUUAUAUUAUGUCAAAAGUGAGGGUUUGCUUCUGUACAACAUGCAUAAAUUUUGCCUCUCAAAUCUCAUGACUACAAUUGUAUAACCAGUCUAUUAGAGUUUGUUAGGAAUAUUAUAAAUGACAUAAACAAAUUUGUAUUUAUUGGUUUCAAGUAUGUAGCUAAAUAGAAAUAUGAAAUAUAGUUGGUUCGGAA